rnacentral:rRNA from 1 species
CUGUGGUAAUUCCAGAGCUAAUACAUGCAACCUGUAUGCCCUGACGGUGCCGCUUGGGCGCGUUCGCGCGCGUCCCUGCCUGUGUGCCAGAUGGGUGCUUUUAUUAGACCAAACAUCGCUGGCGGCGGAGGCGCAAGCCUCUCUCCGCUAGGCUCGUGAUAUGGUGACUCUGGAUAACCUUUUGACAAGCGCACGUACUUCAUUGAUGGAGACGGCGCUGCCACUUUCGAGUGUCUGCCUUAUCAGCUAUCAACCGUUCGUUAUGUGCGACCGAUGGCUUUGACGGGUAACGGGGAAUCAGGGUUCGAUUCCGGAGAGGCAGCCUGAGAAACGGCUACCACGUCCAAGGACGGCAGCAGGCACGCAAAUUACCCAAUCCCAGCAUCUGGGGGAGGUAGUGACGAAAUCUAACGAUGCGGGCGCCCUUUCUGGGCCUCGCAAUCGGAAUGAGCAUUUUCUAAACAACCUGUUGAGAAUCUACUGAAGGGCAAGUCUGGUGCCAGCAGCCGCGGUAAUUCCAGCUUCAGCAGCAUAUAUUAAAGUUGCUGCGGUUAAAAGGCUCGCAGUUGAAUGUCAGUGUUGGGCGACGGUAAGGUGGACGCUGGAGCAUGGGAACUAAGCGCGCUCGCGUGCAGCUCUCCUCGGUGGCCCGUGGCGUAGCGCUACGUGCGUGAAACCCUCGCCGCCCUGUGCGUGUCUGUCGCGGGCGUCUCUCACAAGCUCCCGUCUGUUACAAGCCUCCUCGCUCCAGUACAUGGGUGGCAACUCCUCUCGCCGGAUUUCGUGCGCACUUUGCCUAGCCUUGCGAAAGCUGUCUGUUCUCUCCAUUCUCGCCAUCGUUCGCGCACAUGCGUGGGCGUGAGCUUGGGGGCUUCGGCCUAGCUUGGCGCUCACGGCGAGGCGUCUUCGUGCCGGCGAGUGGGUCGCGGUCUCUUAGCGCGCGAGCCAGAGUGCUUGUCGAAGGGUUGUGUUUGCGGCGCUCGGUUUGGUCAGGAGGAGACUCAGGACCUCCAGCGCCCUCUCAUUUUAUCUCUCUCUCGCACGUCUCUCGCGUGGCGCGCGGCCCUCUGUGUGUGUUGCUGCAUUGUCACCUUGAGUAAAUCGGAGUGCUCAAAGCAGUCGUAAAGGGUUUCGGCCCUGUGAUAAGUCUUGACGGACUGUCUUGAUUUUGCAUGGUAUGUCGGAAAACGACGUCGAGUGCUGGCUCAGAGUCUGUAGAAGUGGUUUCAAGCCAAAGCCUCGACGUAAUGAUUAAAAGGAACGGUCGAGGGCAUUGGUAUUGCGAGGCGAGAGGUGAAAUUCUAUGACCCCCGCAAGACCGCCUGAAGCGAAAGCGUCUGCCAAGGACGUUUUCAUUAAUCAUGAACGAAAGUUAGAGGAUCGAAGGCGAUCAGAUACCGCCCUAGUUCUGACCCUAAACGAUGCCAACCAUCAAUCCGCGUGAGCACCCUUUUUGACGGGCUCGGCGGGCAGCUCUCUUCUCACGGGAAACCAGAGUCUCUGGGUUCCGGGGGGAGUCUGGUUGCAAAGCUGAAACUUAAAGGAAUUGACGGAAAGGCACCACCAGGAGUGGAGCCUGCGGCUUAAUUUGACUCAACACGGGCCAUCUCACCAGGCCAGAACUCUAGCACGAUUGACAGAUUGAGAGCUCUUUCUCGAUUGAGUGGAUGGUGGUGCAUGGCCGUUCUUAGUUGGUGGAGUGAUCUGUCUGGUUAAUUCCGAUAACGAACGAGACUCUCGCCUGCUAACUAGUCGGUUGGAUCUUGUAUUUCGAUGCGAGUCGUGCGCCGGGUUUUCCUUCGCCUCGCGGCAGCGGUGCGAGUCUCCCGCGUCUCUCGCGCUGGGUGUUAGUUGUGCGCGCGUGUGUGCUCCUUCGGAGGCCUGGCACCUAUGUGUCGCGCCGCUGGUGGUUGUGCGCGCGCGUGUGUGACACGCUCUCGGCGCGUUGUGGCCGGGCUCUGCUGUUCGCUGCUUGGUGUGUCUGGUUUUCCUGGGUCGUACACUCCAAGUCCGCCGCUUAUGCUAUAAAACUCUUCUUAGAGGGAUCAACGGCUCUGAAGCCGUACGAGACUGAGAGCAAUAACAGGUCUGUGAUGCCCUUAGAUGUUCUGGGCCGCACGCGCGCUACAAUGCCGGGCACAGCAGGUGUUUUCCCUACUCCGAAAGGAGCGGGCAACCCUCUGAAAGCCCCUUCUCAUCAAUGUAUCGGGCGGCGAGCAAUCGUCGCUCGUGUGUAUUGGCGUGCU